rnacentral:tmRNA from 1 species
GGGGCUGAUUCUGGAUUCGACGGGAUUUGCGAAACCCAAGGUGCAUGCCGAGGGGCGGUUGGCCUCGUAAAAAGCCGCAAAAAAUAGUCGCAAACGACGAAAACUACGCUUUAGCAGCUUAAUAACCUGCUUAGAGCCCUCUCUCCCUAGCCUCCGCUCUUAGGACGGGGAUCAAGAGAGGUCAAACCCAAAAGAGAUCGCGUGGAAGCCCUGCCUGGGGUUGAAGCGUUAAAACUUAAUCAGGCUAGUUUGUUAGUGGCGUGUCCGUCCGCAGCUGGCAAGCGAAUGUAAAGACUGACUAAGCAUGUAGUACCGAGGAUGUAGGAAUUUCGGACGCGGGUUCAACUCCCGCCAGCUCA